rnacentral:tRNA from 1 species
CAAUAGCUAGAAGGGCAUCUCCCUUACACUGAGAAGACAUCCGUGCGAAUCGGAUCGCCCUGA